UGUUGGAGACAUUGGCCCCCAUUCACAGAAACUUACUGGCUGGUGCACAUUAUACUGAAUGAAUUAUGUGUGUUGCCUUAAAUAAUCUCCAUGCCAAUAAGUCCCUUCUUAGAUAUACAGAAAUUCUGUCUCAAGACUCUAUAAUUUGUUGAGAGAGUAACAAUCUGUGUGGUUGGUAGGACUCCAAGGACUGAUCUUUCCCACCAUGCCACAGUGCCUCUUAGCAUUAAAAUGGAGUCAUUAUCUGGAGGUGUUGGGAGAAACCAGGACAGGCAAAGGGAACAAGGAAAGAGCCAGGCGUUCACCUGAAGGGAAUUCUCCUAAACAAAGUCGCUGGCAUUCUAUGUCAUCAGCAGAUAUGGAAAUGAAUGAGGAAGGUGAACACAUUCUCAAAAAUUAAGUAUGAGAUAGCUUUUUUGCCCUUGGACAUCUCGAACUCAGCCAUUUUCUUUAGCACAGAAAAAUCUUUGGUGUUUAGACAGACUCUGGGUGCGCAGGGUGUUCCUUCCCUGUGACGGGCAGUGCAUGAUGCUUCGUUAUGUGUCUCAGUUUUUCACUGCCACUAUGUUUUAGAGAGCUUGGUUGGUAGGGACCAAGCUUUUCUUUGCCUCCAUAAAACGAUGCCAUCAACAUGA